rnacentral:sRNA from 1 species
GCUGGGCGUGGUGGCACACGCCUGUAAUCCCAGCUACUUGGGAGGCUGAGGCAGGAGAAUCGCUUGAACCCGGGAGGCAGAGGUUGCAGUGAGCUGAGAUCGUGCCCCUGCACUCUAGCCUGGGUGACAGAGCGAGACUCUGUCUCAA